UACAGAGGUCUCAAGCGUUGUUCGGAUUCAUUGGGCGUAAAGGGUGCGUAGGCGGCGCGGUAAGUCGGGUGUGAAAUCUCCGAGCUUAACUUGGAAACUGCCAUUGAUACUAUCAGUCUUGAAUAUUGUGGAGGUCAGCGGAAUAUGUCAUGUAGCGGUGAAAUGCUUAGAUAUGACAUAGAACACCAAUUGCGAAGGCAGCUGGCUACGCAUAUAUUGACACUGAGGCACGAAAGCGUGGGGAUCAAACAGG
rnacentral:rRNA from 1 species